CUACAGCGGGAGCGUGAGGAAAGCCGUGCGUUGCGUUCCAAGGCAUCUGUGAGCCCGCGGAGUAUACACCAUGAGCAAAGCUCACCCUCCCGAGUUGAAAAAUGAAAUUAAAUGGUGGCAGACAUGUCCAAGGAAUAUUGCGGGGAUUUGAUCCCUUUAUGAACCUUGUGAUAGAUGAAUGUGUGGAGAUGGCGACUAGUGGACAACAGAACAAUAUUGGAAUGGUGGUAAGUAAAGAUACAAGAGUUCUCUUGGAGAUUUCAUUUUUCUUUUGGAAUGUGUAUUAACUUUCCUGGUUAGUAACCCCCAGAAAUGGCAAAUAACAGGCAAGAUUAGACUUUCCAUCUCCUUUUUAGUUGCAUACGGCAGUUACUCAGCUGUAGUAAUAUCCUGGUUACCUGUAGGUAAGAUCUCAACUAUACAGAACCUAAGGUCCUAGCGCUUGAAAUAGCUGUUGGAAAUCCUUUUUGAGCUUUAUUCUGCAAUA
rnacentral:lncRNA from 1 species